UACGAAGGGGGCUAGCGUUGUUCGGAAUUACUGGGCGUAAAGCGCACGUAGGCGGCUAUUUAAGUCAGGGGUGAAAUCCCAGAGCUCAACUCUGGAACUGCCUUUGAUACUGGGUAUCUUGAGUAUGGAAGAGGUAAGUGGAAUUGCGAGUGUAGAGGUGAAAUUCGUAGAUAUUCGCAGGAACACCAGUGGCGAAGGCGGCUUACUGGACCAUAACUGACGCUGAGGUGCGAAAGCGUGGGGAGCAAACAGG
rnacentral:rRNA from 1 species